rnacentral:rRNA from 2 species
AACGGUGGCUAAUACCGCAUAACGUCGCAAGACCAAAGAGGGGGACCUUCGGGCCUCUUGCCAUCAGAUGUGCCCAGAUGGGAUUAGCUUGUUGGUGAGGUAACGGCUCACCAAGGCGACGAUCCCUAGCUGGUCUGAGAGGAUGACCAGCCACACUGGAACUGAGACACGGUCCAGACUCCUACGGGAGGCAGCAGUGGGGAAUAUUGCACAAUGGGCGCAAGCCUGAUGCAGCCAUGCCGCGUGUAUGAAGAAGGCCUUCGGGUUGUAAAGUACUUUCAGCGGGGAGG